AUUGAACGCUGGCGGCAUGCCUUACACAUGCAAGUCGAACGGUAACAGGUCUUCGGAUGCUGACGAGUGGCGAACGGGUGAGUAAUACAUCGGAACGUGCCUAGUAGUGGGGGAUAACUACUCGAAAGAGUGGCUAAUACCGCAUGAGAUCUACGGAUGAAAGCAGGGGAUCGCAAGACCUUGUGCUACUAGAGCGGCCGAUGGAAGAUUAGGGAGUUGGUGGGAUAAAAGCUUACCAAGCCGACGAUCUGUAGCUGGUCUGAGAGGACGAUCAGACACACUGGGACUGAAACACGGCCCAGACUCCUACGGGAGGCAGCAGUGGGGAAUUUUGGACAAUGGGCGAAAGCCUGAUCCAGCAAUGCCGCGUGCAGGAUGAAGGCCUUCGGGUUGUAAACUGCUUUUGUACGGAACGAAAAGCCCUGGGUUAAUACCCUGGGGUCAUGACGGUACCGUAAGAAUAAGCACCGGCUAACUACGUGCCAGCCGCCGCCGUAA
rnacentral:rRNA from 1 species